rnacentral:misc_RNA from 1 species
AUCUCCUUCAACUAUAAAAAUUUCUGCAAGCAUCAAUGAUAAAGAUCACACAUCACAGACCCAAGCAACAAUGCCAAUGAAGCGAAAAAAUCUAUAAUUCUCAAUUUCUGGAGCUACACAUUCAAAAUAAGAAAAUAAAUACCAUCACCUACAUGGCACAUUUUUCCAUGCCAACUAAAUUUCAUCAAAAUAAUUGUUUUAAGUGUCCAUUGAUAUAGAAUACCAAAUAUUUGCACAACAUGAAUUCUAGCACUUAAGGGAACACUAAACUUUCCAAAAGAAAGAAAGAUGCAUUGGAGCUUCUUGAUGGCAACCAACAAGCAAUCAAAUAUAUUGCAUUAGCAAGCAAAUCAUAAAAGUAAGAAGUGAACAUUGGACUGCAAUGAUAGUAAAUCAUGAUGUAAUAUACUAAAUCCACAAGCAAAUACUGCAAUGAAGUGUAGAAUGUGUCCAACGAAUAACACAUGGCAUACAAUUUCCUCUUAUUGGAAUUUAAUAAUCACAGCACAAACUCCCAAAAUACUGUCUAGUUUCUAUGAGUGAUCUCCUAAGCCAAGCAAGUCAUCAAUAAUCAAACAUGUGCAAGUUACAGAUAAUGCAUGUUCACACUGUUGAAUUAAGGA